rnacentral:rRNA from 1 species
UGGGGAAUAUUGGACAAUGGGCGAAAGCCUGAUCCAGCCAUGCCGCGUGUGUGAAGAAGGUCUUCGGAUUGUAAAGCACUUUAAGUUGGGAGGAAGGGCAUUAACCUAAUACGUUAGUGUUUUGACGUUACCGACAGAAUAAGCACCGGCUAACUCUGUGCCAGCAGCCGCGGCAAUACAGAGGGUGCAAGCGUGAAUCGGAAUUACUGGGCGUAAAGCGCGCGUAGGUGGUUUGUUAAGUUGGAUGUGAAAUCCCCGGGCUCAACCUGGGAACUGCAUUCAAAACUGACUGACUAGAGUAUGGUAGAGGGUGGUGGAAUUUCCUGUGUAGCGGUGAAAUGCGUAGAUAUAGGAAGGAACACCAGUGGCGAAGGCGACCACCUGGACUAAUACUGACACUGAGGUGCGAAAGCGUGGGGAGCAAACA